rnacentral:siRNA from 1 species
UUUAGUAGGCAACCGAACUUGC